rnacentral:misc_RNA from 1 species
GCCCAAUUUCUUCCUUAAAGCCGAAAAUUCGUUAUCCUUUCGAUCAAUCUCUGCUUGUAAAUGGUCCGAAACAAUCCCCAGAACUCUCAGCUUGCUUUGAUUUUCCUGUACUUGAGCUUCCAAGCAAGACCCAAUAGGCAAAGCUGCCCCGAAGUCGGGAUUCCUACACAAAUCCACAUAGAACUGCUUGAAAUCAGACAUACUCUGAAGAUGCGCAACCAGAGCUUCAUCCGCCGCCUUUAUACUGUCUUCAUUGAAAGGCACGUGGGCAAUCUGUAGCUGCAGAUACGAAGCUUCAAAUGAAGAAACUGUCGCAAAUAUAGAAGAAAUCAAAGUCUGAGCGGACUGAGCGUUU